rnacentral:rRNA from 1 species
CGAUACCUGCUCAGCAGAACGACCUGCGAACACGUGAAAACAACUUACCAUGCCCGGGGGGCGGGCUACGGCCAGCGACCCGGUGCAACAACAAAAUUCGGCGCAACUGGCGUCAAGGAAAACUUAUCGGAAGCAAGGCGUCGGCUCGUUCGGCGUCGCGUAUCCAAAUACUCAAACGACUCUCGGCAAUGGAUAUCUCGGCUCUUGCAUCGAUGAAGAACGUAGCGAAAUGCGAUACUUGGUGUGAAUUGCAGAAUCCCGUGAACCAUCGAGUCUUUGAACGCAAGUUGCGCCCGAAGCCUUUUUGGCCGAGGGCACGCCUGCCUGGGCCACACACAGCGUCGCCCCCACUAAUCCCUCUGGAUUGGAUGGGGGCGGAGAUUGGCCCCCCGAGCCCUCCGGGGCACGGUCGGCAUAAAUGUGGGUCCUCGGCGAUGAGCGUCGCGGUCAGCGGUGGUUGUACACUCAUCCCCCAAAGACGAAAUGACGCGCACGCCUCGUCGCUCGGCGGACAGAGAAAACCCCAGGAAGCCGGGCUUCC